rnacentral:lncRNA from 1 species
GCACUGACCGAUCGGAACGGCCACCAAUAUCAGUACCAAAAAUUUUGGAUCUGACUAAUGCCAGCAUCAAAUAGGGAUUGGUCGGAUACUAGUAAGCUCAACUUGGGUAUUUUCAUACCUAAAAGAGCCUCCUCAUCCUCAGGUAGUGCUUCAUUAAUGGAGUUAUAUUUGGUUUCAAGGUUACACCAUUUAUAGCUAAAACCCCAUGAAAUAUCGAAAGAAACAAAGAAAAAGUGAUUUUUCCAAUUGUGUAUGG